rnacentral:lncRNA from 1 species
AUGGAUCUAGACCUGGGCGUCUACAUCAAAUACCGACUGGAUGGCUCACUAUUUGACCUUCGCUGCCUGACUGCAAAAACAAAGACAACAGAGAGACUCAUCCUGGAAGCUCUCUUUGCAGAUGACUGUGCUCUCAUGGCCCACCAAGAAAAUCAUCUCCAAACCAUUGUAGACAGGUUCUCCACCACAACAAAACUGUUUGGCCUGACUAUCAGCCUCAGCAAAACAGAGGUGCUGUACCAACCUGCACCAGGGAGGCCAAUGAACCAGCCAUGUAUUACAAUCCACAGCACGCAACUUUCUAACGUCAACACUUUCAAGUACCUGGGCAGCACCAUCGCCAACAACAGGUCCCUAGACCACGAGAUUAAUGCCAGGAUCCAAAAGGCCAGCCAGGCACUUAGGCGGCUGCUCUUCAAAGUCCUCCAACAUAGAGGUGUAAGCACUGCGACGAAGCUCAAAGUGUAUAACACAGUGGUCCUCAGCUCGCUCCUGUACGGUUGUGAAACAUGGACACUGUACCGGAAGCACAUGAAACAGCUGGAGCAAUUCCACCAACGCUCUCUCCGGUCAAUCAUGAGGAUCCGAUGGCAGGACCAAAUCACCAACCAGGAAGUCCUCGACAGAGCCAACUCCACCAGCAUCGAAGUAAUGGCCCUCAAAACCCAGCUACGAUGGUCUGGACACGUCAUCCGCAUGGACCCACAGCGAAUACCAAGACAGGUAUUCUAUGUUGAACUGUCAGCUGGACUCAGGAAACAAGGCAGGCUGAAGAAAAGAUUCAAGGAUCAGCUAAAGUCCAACUUGAAGCGGGCUGGCAUUACACCAAAGCAACUAGAACUCGCUGCCUCUGACAGAAGCAGCUGGCGAACCCACAUUCACCAUGUCGCCGCCACCUUUGAAGAUGAGCGACGUCGACGUCUUGCUGCUGCACAUGAACGCCGACACCAGGCCACAACCGCACCUCCCGUAACAACUGGAGUCCCAUGCCCCAAGUGCCACAAACUGGGUGCCUCAGCCUUUGGACUCCAAAGCCACAUGAGGGUACACUGUAGAUGA